AGGGACUUGCACACCAUUUGUGAUGAGGUAUUAAACGGGAGUUUUCUUUGUUCUUCCUUCCACUGGAGAUACUAGAAUACGUUUAAGGAGGCCAUGUACCUGCUCAGAAACAUUUGCGACCUUGGUAUUAGGGAGGCAACAUACCAUCCUGGAGUCUGUCUUGCAGCCACAGAAGUGCCUAUCUGACCAUGAAACACUACUGAUUGUUGGUUCACCAUGUCCUUUAAGAAUUCUGGAUCGAGCCUACAUGUGACUCCAAAUUCACAGCAACGUGGUAAUCAGCUACACUAACUGUUGGACCACAUGCUACACUGUAUCUUGUUGAGAACACUUGGUGCUGUCA